AUUGAACGCUGGCGGCAUGCCUUACACAUGCAAGUCGAACGGCAGCACGGGGGCAACCCUGGUGGCGAGUGGCGAACGGGUGAGUAAUGCAUCGGAACGUGCCCAGUAGUGUGGGAUAACCCGGCGAAAGCCGGGCUAAUACCGCAUACGACCUACGGGUGAAAGCGGGGGACCGUAAGGCCUCGCGCUAUUGGAGCGGCCGAUGUCUGAUUAGCUAGUUGGCGGGGUAAAGGCCCACCGAGGCGACGAUCAGUAGCUGGUGUGAGAGGACGACCAGCAACACUGGGACUGAGACACGGCCCAGACUCCUACGGGAGGCAGCAGUGGGGAAUUUUGGACAAUGGGCGCAAGCCUGAUCCAGCCAUGCCGCGUGCGGGAAGAAGGCCUUCGGGUUGUAAACCGCUUUUGGCAGGAACGAAACGGCGCAAGCUAAUACCUUGCGCUAAUGACGGUACCUGCAGAAUAAGCACCGGCUAACUACGUGCCAGCAGCCGCCGUAAGAC
rnacentral:rRNA from 1 species